CGUGCUCGGCUUUAAUCAAACGGCUAUUUGGUUAGUCAAAUUAAGGAGAGGUUUGGUACCAUUUGAUAUUUCAAAGAAUUAUAUUCCGCCCACUACUGCUUUGAAUCCUAAGGCUAUGAGGUAUAACUUGAUUAUAAACACUAUUAGUGAUUUAUCUAACAUGUAAUAUUGCACAAGCACUAAAAAAUUAUGUAAAUGGCACUCGAAGCGUAAACCAGAUAUCUCAAGACUACACCUUAAGGAGUGGAUAUCCCAAAUUCAAGCUGGCCCACAAAGGAGCCAGCCCAUCGGAUUUCCAAGGGUUAUUUAAAAAAAAAAAAAAACUGAAUUUUGAUUCUCAUACUUCGACGGCAAAGUUAACUUCAUGCUGGCCUUUGGGUUUGCUAUGUUCUAUGAUCUUUGCACACCCUUGAGAUAUGCUUAGGAAUCGGGCAAUUGAGAAUCAAUUUAUUAAUGAAUUAGACAAUUAGAUGUGUUUGGUUGUAAAAAUGAAAUAAUUAGAAGAUCUACAAAAUUUGCUUUUUUCCAUGAAAUUUUAAAUGUGUUCAAUUAAUUCAUUACUACCUACCACAUUCCAGAGGCAUGUAAAGGUUGAAAAGGUUAAGACUGGCAGUACCAUAAUGAUGACACUAAUAAUGUAGAACUUAUUUGCUGGUGCUGCGUUCCUUUCUGUCUCCUCUUUCUCCUGUAUAUUAUGCAGCGUGGGGGGUUUUAUUUUCAUUUACUGGUUUUGAUUGUCAAAUUUGUUACGGAACAGGUUGCUUCUGUUAUGACCGUUUGGAAUAAUGUACAGCCUGAUUAUGCUGCUAACAUGUGGAAUGAAGCCUUGAACAAGCGACUUGAAACUAAGGGCCUUGAUCUUCCUGAAAUUCUUGUAGAAGCUGAAAGGCGUGGGGUCAUCUUUUGAUGAAUUGUUGACAAUUCCCGAGCAAGACAAUUGGAUAUACAGUGAUGGAAAGUCUACAUCAUGUGUCGUUUUCAUUCUUGAAAUGUACAAGGAAGCAGGGUUGUUUGAUCCAAUUGCAAACUCCAUUCAAGUUACAAAGUUUAAG